UGUAUGAUCGUUAACAGUCGGAUUCAACGCGUGAUUGCGAGUAGUUCGUCUCGCUGUCUAUUGUGUGUUUGGUAAAAGGUGAAAAACCGGACUAUUGCUGCCAUUGUAUGAUGUAUGAUGCACCCUGGGAUGAUGAUCAUUGCUACUAGUUUACCAAAAACCACGAAAUCGAUGAUGACAAAUUUGUACCAGAUGGCAUGAUUUGGUCACUCUAUGUAUGCUAAUUUCGUGGUUUUUUGGUGAAAUACCAACGUCGUGCUUCGCCGGAGAAGAGGAUAUAGGCCUGAUCCAAAAACCUGUCGUUUGGAAUUCGUUCCGAAGCGAUCAGUUCGUUGACCUGGAACACGAAGUCGGAGACAUCCAUUCCAUGAGAGUCUCCACUAAACUGAAUACCCCAUCUAUCUAAGCGAUAAUGUUGGAAUCGGUCAUCUCGACGACUGUGAACUGUGGAAAUUGAGCUGCUCUGGGACUCGGAAUCGGAACUUGUCUCCGAUGAGAGUAAGCUGCUCAACGAAUCUAAGGAUGAGCUUUCG